rnacentral:lncRNA from 1 species
GUACUACACCUGAGCCAAUACUUCAAGACUGAUGGAUCACUUAGAGCAAGAAAAUAGAGAACUCAAGGAGGAAGUGGCCAGAUUGACUGCCCUGAUGGAGUCUUUCAUGGCCGCCCAAAGCCAGUCAUCUCAAACGCCUUCAACUCCUCCCCAGAGGACAGUCAUCUCUGAGAUUGCCUCUUCAAUAGUGCCUGCUGCCAGCGCCCACUUUGCGCCUACUGCUAUGUCAGCCGGGUUUCCCUGGGGGAUGCUCG